CUACGGGACGCUGCAGUGAGGAAUAUUGCACAAUGGGGGCAACCCUGAUGCAGCAAUGCCGCGUGAAUGAAGAAGGCCUUCGGGUCGUAAAGUUCUUUUCUAUGUGAAGAGAGAGGACGGUACCAUAGGAAUAAGUCCCGGCUAACUACGUGCCAGCAGCCGCGGUAAAACGUAGGGGGCGAGCGUUAUCCGGAUUUACUGGGCGUAAAGCGCAUGCAGGCGGCUUGAUAAGAUAGACGUGAAAGUUCCCGGCUCAACUGGGAGAGGUCGUUUAUGACUGUCAGGCUUGAGUUAGGUAGAGGAGAGCAGAAUUCCCGGUGUAGUGGUGGAAUGCGUAGAUAUCGGGAGGAAUACCAGUGGCGAAAGCGGCUCUCUGGGCCUAAACUGACGCUCAGAUGCGAAAGCGUGGGGAGCAAACGGGAUUAGAUACCCUCGUAGUC
rnacentral:rRNA from 1 species